GACGUAGGGGGCCAGCGUUGUUCGGAAUUACUGGGUGUAAAGGGUUCGUAGGCGGUGCGGCAAGUUGGGAGUGAAAUCUCUGGGCUUAACCCAGAGGCUGCUUCCAAAACUGCUGUGCUUGAGUGUGGGAGAGGCGCGUGGAAUUGCAGGUGUAGCGGUGAAAUGCGUAGAUAUCAUAAGGAAGACCAGUGGCGAAGGCGGGUCUCUGGACAGUUCCUGACGCUGAGGCACGAAGGUCAGGGGAGCAAACGGG
rnacentral:rRNA from 1 species